GUAGAUGAUCCUCCUGGUUGUCAUAUGUUAAUCUCAAAGAUUAAGUAUUGCACGUCUAAGUAAAUGCCCGAUUAAAGCGAAACCGAGGAUGGGUCAUUAAAUUGUUUAUGGUUCGUUGAAUCGUGGCUUACUAGUUGAAUAACUGUGGCAAUUCUCGAGCUGAUACAUACAAUAGAGCUCCGAUCCUUCAGGGACGAGUGCUUUUAUUUCACCAAAACCGAUCGUCCCUCGUGUCCGUAUUGUGUGGUGACUCUGUUAACCUUUAAGCUGUUCUCAUGGACUCAUCCUGUCGAUGUGUCUUUCAAAUGUGUGUUUUAUCGGCUGUCGGUGGUAGGUUACACACAUAUCGUGGUCUUAACGGAUGACGGGGAAUCAAGGUUUGAUUCCAGAGACGGAGUCUAAGUAACAGCUAACACAUCCAAGGAAGACAACAAGUGCGCAAAUCACCCACUCCCAAAACGGAAAAAUAGUAACAAAAAAUAACAAUACGGGAGUCUUUUGAGAACCCGUAACUGCAAUGAGUACACUCUAAAUCAUUUAACGAGGAUCAGUUGCAUGGCUAAUCUGUUUCCAAAAGCGGCGGUAAUUUCAGUAGCUUAUAUU
rnacentral:rRNA from 1 species